AGCAGGCAGACGCAGCUUCUGCAAUGGUCGACAUUAACUGCUCCCAGCAGCGGAUCUGAUUAACACGAUACCAAAGUGAUUUUGUUACCUGUGGAUCUUCAAACUUUACAUCCAGAGUUGUGAGGAAUCAGAGGUGCAUGCGGCUGCCCACGGGAAAAAUUUGCCAUCAGCCCAACACAGUUUGGAUUAUCAUAGGACUGUCAGAGGUUUGCCAAACCUGUCAAAUGCAUGAUGGCUCCUGUUUGGACUUACCGAUGUCCUCGACUUCAAGUAUCCAUCAAAACUGUAUACAUUUGAGAUAUAUUAGAGACUCUUUGUGGGACUGGACAUUAUGCAUCCAAAAUCUUCAUCAAAAUAUGCAAAUCUCCUCACUGAGUUGCCUUGGAUGAUUUCUCAAUAGGAUCUGGUAUUAUUAAUGUUUUUAUUUAUGUAUUGUGUACGUGUAGCCACAUUAAUGGCCUAUUUUGUAGUCACUAUUAAAAGGAACAUCGAUUGAUAUUGAA
rnacentral:lncRNA from 1 species